rnacentral:lncRNA from 1 species
GCAGUGUGAAUAUAUUCAGCAGAUGCAAAGCAGUGAGCAUUAAAAGCCAAGUGUGGAAACUACUGACAAGACAUGGACAUUAUAUCCAGCUAUUUCACUGCUCUGGUGGAGAAGAUCUACUCAAUCUUCUGGUCGACAAGCAGCAGCUCAACACCUGCAAACAGUUCGACAGCCAAUCAGAAUCAGACAGAGCCAUCAGAGAGCUCAAAUGAAAAUGACAUCCCAGUCACAAAACCUUCUGAAACAUGGGUGUCUGAGGUCCAGGAGGGGAGCAGUCCUGUACAAACCACUGUAAACUCACAUUCAGGUCAUUAUGAUCAUCCACACAUCCCGCCACAGCACUCAAACUCAUUCAGUGAUCCUGAUGAAACUACCGAAGUGGACAAGAUCAACAUCAUUGUGAAAUGUGCUGGAAAGACCAUGGAAGUGGACAUGUUCCCACUGGAAAGCAUCUUAGUUUUACUAAAGGAGGCCUGUGACUGGGCAGGGAAGAAACCAGAGAAAAUGUCACUGGUUUAUGAAGGAAACUGUCUGGAUGUGAACAAGACAGUGAGCCAGUAUGGACUACGAGGAGGAAUCACCGUACAUUUGAUUCAUGCCUAGAAAAUGAAUUCUCAGGAGAAAGUUUCUAUUUAUAAUACAAGUACACUACAUAAAAUAUUGUUUGAACUCAAUAAUUGUAUUAUUAUUAGUAGUAUUAGUAGUAGUAGUAGUAUUUAGUACUUUAAAGCAGUGUCUUGGUUUAUUGUUAAAAGCACUGCAUUGCCAUGUACAGUCU